rnacentral:rRNA from 1 species
GAUGAACGCUGGCGGCGUGCCUAAUACAUGCAAGUCGAGCGAACAGACGAGGAGCUUGCUCCUCUGACGUUAGCGGCGGACGGGUGAGUAACACGUGGAUAACCUACCUAUAAGACUGGGAUAACUUCGGGAAACCGGAGCUAAUACCGGAUAAUAUAUUGAACCGCAUGGUUCAAUAGUGAAAGACGGUUUUGCUGUCACUUAUAGAUGGAUCCGCGCCGCAUUAGCUAGUUGGUAAGGUAACGGCUUACCAAGGCAACGAUGCGUGGCCGACCUGAGAGGGUGAUCGGCCACACUGGAACUGAGACACGGUCCAGACUCCUACGGGAGGCAGCAGUAGGGAAUCUUCCGCAAUGGGCGAAAGCCUGACGGAGCAACGCCGCGUGAGUGAUGAAGGUCUUCGGAUCGUAAAACUCUGUUAUUAGGGAAGAACAAAUGUGUAAGUAACGAUGCACGUCUUGACGGUACCUAAUCAGAAAGCCACGGCUAACUACGU